rnacentral:rRNA from 1 species
AUUGAACGCUGGCGGCAGGCCUAACACAUGCAAGUCGAGCGCGCGGUGGACGGGUGAGUAAUGUCUGGGAAACUGCCCGAUGGAGGGGGGUAACUACUGGAAACGGUAGCUCAUACCGCAUACCAUCAGUUAUGCCCCGGUGGGAUUAGCUAGUCGGGGGGGUAACGGCUCACCUCGGCGACGAUCCCUAGCUGGUCUGAGAGGAUGACCAGCCACACGGGAACUGAGACACGGUCCAGACUCCGACGGCAGGAAGCAGUGGGGAAUAUUGCACAAGGGGCGCAAGCCUGAUGCAGCCAGGCCCGGUGGGUGAAGAAGGCCUUCGGGGUGUAAAGCACUUUCAGCGGGGAGGCGUUACCCGCAGAAGAAGCACCGGCUAACUCCGUGCCAGCAGCCGCGGUAAUUC